rnacentral:rRNA from 1 species
AGAGUUUGAUCCUGGCUCAGAUUGAACGCUGGCGGUAUGCCUUACACAUGCAAGUCGAACGGUAGAGGGGCAACCCUUGAGAGUGGCGAACGGGUGAGUAAUACAUCGGAACGUGCCCAGUCGUGGGGGAUAACGUAGCGAAAGCUACGCUAAUACCGCAUACGACCCGAGGGUGAAAGCGGGGGACUCGCAAGAGCCUCGCGCGAUUGGAGCGGCCGAUGGCAGAUUAGGUAGUUGGUGGGGUAAAGGCCCACCAAGCCUGCGAUCUGUAGCUGGUCUGAGAGGACGACCAGCCACACUGGGACUGAGACACGGCCCAGACUCCUACGGGAGGCAGCAGUGGGGAAUUUUGGACAAUGGGCGAAAGCCUGAUCCAGCCAUACCGCGUGCGGGAAGAAGGCCUUCGGGUUGUAAACCGCUUUUGUCAGGGAAGAAAUCCUUUGGGUUAAUACCUCGGAGGGAUGACGGUACCUGAAGAAUAG